rnacentral:rRNA from 1 species
AGAGUUUGAUCAUGGCUCAGAUUGAACGCUGGCGGCACGCCUAAUACAUGCAAGUCGAGGGGGUAGCAAUACCUAGCGGCGGACGGGUGAGUAAUGCAUAGGAAUCUGCCUUGUAGUGGGAAUAACAGUUCGAAAGGGCUGCUAAUACCGCAUAUUCUCUGAGGAGGAAAGGGGGCUUGGCUCUCGCUACAAGAUGAGCCUAUGUCCGAUUAGCCAGUUGGAGAGGUAAAGGCUCACAAGGCGACGAUCGGUAACUGGUCUGAGAGGACGACCAGUCACACUGGGACUGAGACACGCCCAGACUCCUACGGGAGGCAGCAGUAGGGAAUCUUGGACAAUGGGGGAAACCCUGAUCAGCGAUGCCGCGUGUGUGAAGAAGGCCUGCGGGUUGUAAAGCACUUUAAGUGGGGAAGAAGGCGCAUGGCUAAUACCUAUGCGUGUUGACGUUACCCACAGAAUAAGCACCGGCUAAUCUGUGCCAGCAGCCGCGGUAAUACAGAGGGUGCAAGCGUUAAUCGGAAUUACUGGGCGAAAGCGUGCGUAGGCGGUUAAUUAAGUCUGAUGUGAAAUCCCCGAGCUUAACUUGGGAAUGCAUCAGAUACUGGUUAGCUAGAGUAGAAAAGAGGAAGGCGGAAUUCCAGGUGUAGCGUGAAAUGCGUAGAGAUCUGGAGGAACACCGGUGGCGAAGGCGGCUUUCUGGCUUCAUACGACGCUCAGGCACGAAAGCGUGGGGAGCAAACAGGAUUAGAUACCCUGGUAGUCCACGCCUAAACGAUGGGUACUGGUUGUUAGGAGAGAGUUAUCUUUUAGUAACGAAGCAAACGCGUAAGUACCCCGCCUGGGAAGUACGGUCGCAAGACUAAAACUCAAAUGA